rnacentral:rRNA from 1 species
UACGUAGGGGGCUAGCGUUAUCCGGAAUUACUGGGCGUAAAGGGUGCGUAGGUGGUUUCUUAAGUCAGAGGUGAAAGGCUACGGCUCAACCGUAGUAAGCCUUUGAAACUGAGAAACUUGAGUGCAGGAGAGGAGAGUAGAAUUCCUAGUGUAGCGGUGAAAUGCGUAGAGAUUAGGAGGAACACCAGUAGCGAAGGCGGCUCUCUGGACUGUAACUGACGCUGAGGCACGAAAGCGUGGGGAGCAAACAGGAUUAGAUACCCGGGUAGUCCCUGAG